GGGUUGUGAGGUUAAGCGACUAAGCGUACACGGUGGAUGCCCUGGCAGUCAGAGGCGAUGAAGGACGUGCUAAUCUGCGAUAAGCGUCGGUAAGGUGAUAUGAACCGUUAUAACCGGCGAUUUCCGAAUGGGGAAACCCAGUGUGAUUCGUCACACUAUCAUUAACUGAAUCCAUAGGUUAAUGAGGCGAACCGGGGGAACUGAAACAUCUAAGUACCCCGAGGAAAAGAAAUCAACCGAGAUUCCCCCAGUAGCGGCGAGCGAACGGGGAGCAGCCCAGAGCCUGAAUCAGUGUGUGUGUUAGUGGAAGCGUCUGGAAAGGCGCGCGAUACAGGGUGACAGCCCCGUACACAAAAAUGCACAUGCUGUGAGCUCGAUGAGUAGGGCGGGACACGUGGUAUCCUGUCUGAAUAUGGGGGGACCAUCCUCCAAGGCUAAAUACUCCUGACUGACCGAUAGUGAACCAGUACCGUGAGGGAAAGGCGAAAAGAACCCCGGCGAGGGGAGUGAAAAAGAACCUGAAACCGUGUACGUACAAGCAGUGGGAGCACGCUUAGGCGUGUGACUGCGUACCUUUUGUAUAAUGGGUCAGCGACUUAUAUUCUGUAGCAAGGUUAACCGAAUAGGGGAGCCGAAGGGAAACCGAGUCUUAACUGGGCGUUAAGUUGCAGGGUAUAGACCCGAAACCCGGUGAUCUAGCCAUGGGCAGGUUGAAGGUUGGGUAACACUAACUGGAGGACCGAACCGACUAAUGUUGAAAAAUUAGCGGAUGACUUGUGGCUGGGGGUGAAAGGCCAAUCAAACCGGGAGAUAGCUGGUUCUCCCCGAAAGCUAUUUAGGUAGCGCCUCGUGAAUUCAUCUCCGGGGGUAGAGCACUGUUUCGGCAAGGGGGUCAUCCCGACUUACCAACCCGAUGCAAACUGCGAAUACCGGAGAAUGUUAUCACGGGAGACACACGGCGGGUGCUAACGUCCGUCGUGAAGAGGGAAACAACCCAGACCGCCAGCUAAGGUCCCAAAGUCAUGGUUAAGUGGGAAACGAUGUGGGAAGGCCCAGACAGCCAGGAUGUUGGCUUAGAAGCAGCCAUCAUUUAAAGAAAGCGUAAUAGCUCACUGGUCGAGUCGGCCUGCGCGGAAGAUGUAACGGGGCUAAACCAUGCACCGAAGCUGCGGCAGCGACGCUUAUGCGUUGUUGGGUAGGGGAGCGUUCUGUAAGCCUGCGAAGGUGUGCUGUGAGGCAUGCUGGAGGUAUCAGAAGUGCGAAUGCUGACAUAAGUAACGAUAAAGCGGGUGAAAAGCCCGCUCGCCGGAAGACCAAGGGUUCCUGUCCAACGUUAAUCGGGGCAGGGUGAGUCGACCCCUAAGGCGAGGCCGAAAGGCGUAGUCGAUGGGAAACAGGUUAAUAUUCCUGUACUUGGUGUUACUGCGAAGGGGGGACGGAGAAGGCUAUGUUGGCCGGGCGACGGUUGUCCCGGUUUAAGCGUGUAGGCUGGUUUUCCAGGCAAAUCCGGAAAAUCAAGGCUGAGGCGUGAUGACGAGGCACUACGGUGCUGAAGCAACAAAUGCCCUGCUUCCAGGAAAAGCCUCUAAGCAUCAGGUAACAUCAAAUCGUACCCCAAACCGACACAGGUGGUCAGGUAGAGAAUACCAAGGCGCUUGAGAGAACUCGGGUGAAGGAACUAGGCAAAAUGGUGCCGUAACUUCGGGAGAAGGCACGCUGAUAUGUAGGUGAAGUCCCUCGCGGAUGGAGCUGAAAUCAGUCGAAGAUACCAGCUGGCUGCAACUGUUUAUUAAAAACACAGCACUGUGCAAACACGAAAGUGGACGUAUACGGUGUGACGCCUGCCCGGUGCCGGAAGGUUAAUUGAUGGGGUCAGCGCAAGCGAAGCUCUUGAUCGAAGCCCCGGUAAACGGCGGCCGUAACUAUAACGGUCCUAAGGUAGCGAAAUUCCUUGUCGGGUAAGUUCCGACCUGCACGAAUGGCGUAAUGAUGGCCAGGCUGUCUCCACCCGAGACUCAGUGAAAUUGAACUCGCUGUGAAGAUGCAGUGUACCCGCGGCAAGACGGAAAGACCCCGUGAACCUUUACUAUAGCUUGACACUGAACAUUGAGCCUUGAUGUGUAGGAUAGGUGGGAGGCUUUGAAGUGUGGACGCCAGUCUGCAUGGAGCCG
rnacentral:rRNA from 1 species